UGAAAACAAAGGCUUACUAUACAAAGAAAUAGAGAACAGAGUUUGUAAUCGUAAGUCAUAGAGUUUCUUGCAUUCGCCUGUUCCCUCGCCAUACUCCAACCACCAGAACUGCAGACACACAGUCUCUUUCGUUCCAAUUCUCCUUCUCCCUUGAAAAAUUCAAUUCUUUUCUCUGUCUUCCUUAAAAGCAAAAACCUUAGCCAUUGCUCAGCCUCCACCCAUGUACUGCGGGGAAAAAAUCAAGUGGUUGGAAGUAAAGCCUCAGUCCCAAUCAACCCGAUUAAAAGGAAAAAAAAAAAGAAAAAAUCAAAAACUUCCGAUUCCCAUGUAUCCAUAGUUUGCAAUCAGAGAAUGUCUUUCAAUUCUCUACCGGUACAAUCACUUUAGUCAUGGGCACAAUUUGAUGUGUUUUGAUGUCUGUGUUUGUUGUUCACAAGUAGAGGGAUAUCACUCCACUGGAUGUGAAUGGCAAUGUUGGGGUCUCAAACAAAGAUGGUGAGAUGAAGAAGUUUUAAGACAAAGAACAUGAAGCUGACAACAACCAAGUUGCCUUCUCCACCAAAUUUCUUCCAAGGUCAAAGAGUUCACAAAUCACAGUGAUUGAGGUAUGAUGAGGCCUGAAAUCAAGAUGAAGUGCAUUGUCCCAGUUGUUAUGGCUAGAAUGCUUGGUUAUGCACAUUUUGAUUGGUAUGCCAAUUGAUAUAUUGGUGAUGCUAGUGUUAGGUAGCCUAUAAACUGAUGGUUAUGCAUGAAGGGUGUUUGGAAGGGAAGUUUCAAUCUAUUGAAAGACUAAGGGAAACCAAUCAGCAAAAAGCUACUGUUCAUCAUGUCAGACAGGUUCAUGGGUUCAAUUUCUUUAGUUGAAGAAGUAUUAAGACGAAGAUGGACAACAAUCUUGCUUCUCCACCAAUUUGCUUCCAAGGAAGGAUGAUCACACCAUUCUCUUUAGUUGGAUUUUUUUUUUUUUUUUUCAAUUGCUAGAAAUAUUUUUCUCUCCAUCAUAGUUGAUGUUAUAAUUUUAGUUGUUUAGAAUAGGCUUAAAAGAAAAUCUAUUUGUAAGACAGCACAUAUUUUUAUGGAUAGCAUACUAAGUGCUAUAUACAUUUUAAAUUUGAAAUUCAU